rnacentral:lncRNA from 1 species
CGACCGGAGCACCCGCUGGGGUUGGAGUUGCAUCGGAGGUACGAGCCACCUCGCCGUCGAUAGCUCAUCCCACUGAUUGAAGUUCGGCCUCCGAGGCAGCCAGGCCAUCGGUGAGUCGGGAGAUUUUCUCCUCGAGCCUGGCCUCGCAGUCGAUCGACGACUUCAGCUGCUCCACCAGCGUCGCCUUCUCGGCUUCGACGGUUUGCAUUCCCAAUGAGACGUCUGACAUCGGAUCGUUCGUUGAUGACGUCGGC